GGGCGGCAGCAGCAGGGGGCCGGGACUACAAGGGGGCGGCCAUUUUUUUAACUGGAGGAGCCAUCGGAGGAGCCGCCAACGGAGGAGCGAUUAUUAGAAUAAUUACAGCUGCAGUGUGUGGAAAGCGCAGGAGGGGUUUCCUGUAUAUGUAAAAAAGAAGGUGCAUUGCACAGGGGCCCCAAUGUCGGUACCUAGAUUUCAUUGGAGUACAACUUCUAUCAUCCACUCAGCACCACCACCUGCCUGGAAUGUUCCUCAGCAAUGUCACAGCCAGUGCUUACAAAAUCAGGGUUUGAAACUGGCUGGUCGUCCAGAACAAUCAUCUCUCCAAUGCUCCAGGUUAAGAGACGAGCCUCUGGCCGAUCAGACCGCUUGCCCACCAACUGCACCACUGGCAAUCUCCUCUGCUUGAGAGCAGGAGCACAUACCUUGCUGCCACUGGUCGAGGGCACACCAGGCCUAUUAGCACUAACAGCAGGAGUAAGGACCCCCAGUAGCACCUGAGUGUCCCUCCAGUAUCAUCUGACUUCCCAGGCCAAGAAUCAUACACUGCAAUGGAAUGGCCUAAAGUUCCUGUUUCUGACCAGCAAUGCUUGAUCCACAAGGUUCUGAUUCAAGCCCCAUGCCACUAAAUGUAGCAGUAGAUUGUGACUUGAGAUGUUUAGACUUAAUGUUUAAGGUUAAUAUUAGAUGUUUAGGUUAAUAUGAGCACUUGAAUUGUGUGUGUGUGUGUGUAUGUAUGUAUAUAUGUGUGUGUGUGUGUGUGUGUGUAUAUAUAUAUAUAUAUAUAUAUAUAUAUAUAUAUAUAUAUAUGUAUGUAUAUAUAUAAACAUGAUGUGUAUAAGUUACAAUGGAGCAAUAUGGUCCCAGCAAAUCCAACCAGAGGCAAAACCACGGCAACACGCACAUACUGAAUAUCAGUAUUUGGAAAGAAAAUGUUUAAAAAUAGAAUUCAUCCUUAUUAGUUACCAAAGAUUGUUCUAAAAAAAGCAAAAUGAUACUAGAUCUCCAUGCAUGAAAAGCAUAAUAUUCUCACCAUCAUCCCUAUGGUCAUAAGACCCCUUAGGAAGUUAAUAUAUCAAGACUUUCCCAAGUAGUCCUAUCCAGUUCAGUUCUGAGUAUAAUUGCUUUUAUAAAUGUUAGCAGCUGUAGUAUAUCAGUCUUUUAAUUUACCAGCUGAUCUAUCUAUUCAACUGUGCACUGUAUUUGACAUUGAAUUGAUACUGAUAUGAUUUAAAAGGUGAUAACUUUGAUUCAGUAACUAGGGCAUAUACAGUAAUUCAGAAAAGGGUGACUGAUUUGACAUAUAGUGGUUACACUUUAAAAGUUAAUCGUGUUUUGAACGCUUCUGCGUAUUUGGAGCAGGUCCUGAAAUUAAAAGAGGAGGCAGGGAAGGGGACGGAGAAGAUAAGGAAUGCCAGUCUAAUCAGAAAUACCAACAAAGCUGAGAUGAAGUUUUGUGUGUAUGUAAUGCAUGGAAUGUUUGAGUUGAUGAAUAUUCAGCUCCAAGUUGUGUAAGAGGUGAAGAGUAUAACAUUUAAUAUGGCAUCAUGUUUUAUGGGGACAGGAUCUGGUUUAUAAUGUGAAUUUUAAGUUAGUGGUACAAGGAUUGUGUAGUAAAAUUGCAUACAUAAUUCAUAUAUUGAAGUGUCGUUCCAAGCUGAAAAGUGACUGUAAAAAUGUCAUCGUAGGCCUCCAUGUUUGUGUUGCAGUAAUUUCUGACUUGAAAUUAUAUAUAUUUUUUCCUACUGACAA